GAGGACUGCCAGAGAGAACACAGCCUCAGACGGCGAAACAUAAAAGUAAGGAGACAACUGCUCCGCAACCAAAGGCCGAGAGCGACGAACCCUCAGGACCCCCGAAGAGAAUCAUUAAGAGUACGUGUCAAUCAACUCCUUCACUCAGAGUCAUCAGUUCGCGAGGAAUCCGUCCUCCCUGAGAGGAGACGAGUUCCCGCUCAUCAGCCGGAAAAAAAGGACGACGGGAACCUCCACAGGAUGGACGCCAGAGAGGAGACGCUGAACCUCCUGAGCAACAUAUGGGUCAAGCUGCGGGGGCUUCCCGACGCCAACCACGUGGAGCUGGGGGCUUUCUUUGUCGUCUUGACCUUCAUCUGUGAGCCGAUUACCUCUCCUUCUUGUAUCUCUCUUCUUUCAUUUCUAUUUCCUGGUUUUUAUUUGCUCUCCUGCUGCAGUGGUGGUCCUGCUCAUGACAGUGCUGACGUGUGUGAGCUGCUGCUGCUGCCGCCGCCGCCGAGAGACAAAGGUGAAGGUGUCCAACGUUUGAGCCAAUGGUCCUCACAAGAGGGGGGACGGGUGCAAAAGGCUUUUCUCCGAGGCUCGGUUCCAACGCCCCGGCAGACGUUGGAGCGAGCGCCCGGAGGCAGCAGAUGACCAGCAAAAUUGGUCGGUGCGGUUUAUUUGGACUGACGGUGAAGCCGUCAAAUCAAACGCUGGUCUGCUUCUAAAGCCAACUCGGCGCGGUUAGCCGUUAGAUGUGAGAGCCGAUGAACAUGACAGCAUUUUUAGAAUUGCAGGUAUGUGAUUUUAAAAACCUGCUGAUCAAUUCUGUCUGUUUUAUUGAUCUGUAUGAGGCCAUGUAUAUAACCUGUUCAUGUAAACCACUGGUACAAACUCACUGAGUUUCGUGUAAAUAAUUUCAUGCAGACUCUUCUUGAUUUAAUUGUAAAAAAGUCUGGACCAGAGCUGAAAUGUUAUAAGAUUUUUUUCCUUCAGGUCAGACAUCAUAGCCGAGCUACAGGUGAUCCUACAGGUGAACAUACUUCACAACAAAGCCAAAACCACAGACCAAGUCUGCCCUCUGCUGUGCACAAACUGAAAUACAGGUUUUAUUUUGAAAAGCACACUAUGCGUGCAUGUAAGAACAGUUAUGUUUUCAUGUUUUUUAAAUUAUUUCAUCAUUUAAUACUUUCACUUCUCUUUUUUUCUGCAUCUAAAUCCUGUAAAUGUCCCAACUAACUAAAUAAAAAAUAAAAAAGA